CAGCUCGUGCCGUGAGGUGUUAGGUUAAGUCCUGUAACGAGACGCAACCCCUACUACUUAGUUACCUAGCACGUAAUGGUGGGGGACGUCUAGGUAAACUGCCUGCGCAAGCAGAGAGGAAGGUGGGGAUGACGUCAAAUCAGCACGGCCCUUACGUCCAGGGCCACACACGUGCUACAAUGGCCGAUACAGAGGGCAGCUACCUGGUGACAGGAUGCAAAUCUCGAAAGUCGGUCUCAGUUCGGAUCGGAGUCUGCAACUCGACUCCGUGAAGUUGGAUUCGCUAGUAAUCGCGCAUCAGCCAUGGCGCGGUGAAUACGUUCCCGGGCCUU
rnacentral:rRNA from 1 species